rnacentral:rRNA from 1 species
CGGUACGCGAGCUGGGUUUAGAACGUCGUGAGACAGUUCGGUCCCUAUCCUCUGUAGCCGAAGGUGAUUUGAGGAAGGCUGUCCCUAGUACGAGAGGACCGGGACGGACGCAGCUCUCGUGUGCCAGUUGUCCUGCCAAGGGCAUGGCUGGUUAGCGACCUGCGGAAAGGAUAACCGCUGAAAGCAUCUAAGUGGGAAGCCUGUUCCAAGAUGAGAUCACCCACCGGGUAAACCGGGUAAGGCCCGUGGCAGAACACCACGUUGAUAGGCCGGAAGUGUACACAUGGCGACAUGUUCAGCUGACCGGUACUAAUCGGCCGAGGGCUUGGUUCU